rnacentral:rRNA from 1 species
UGCUUAACACAUGCAAGUCGAACGGCAGCAUGGACUUCGGUCUGAUGGCGAGUGGCGGACGGGUGAGUAAUGUAUAGGAAUCUGCCGAGUAGAGGGGGAUAACUAUCCGAAAGGAUAGCUAAUACCGCAUAAAGACUAAGGUUUAAAGCUGGGGACCGCAAGGCCUAGCGCUACUUGAUGAGCCUAUAUAAGAUUAGCUAGUUGGUGGGGUAAAGGCUCACCAAGGCGACGAUCUUUAGCUGGUCUGAGAGGAUGAUCAGCCACACUGGAACUGAGACACGGUCCAGACUCCUACGGGAGGCAGCAGUGGGGAAUAUUGGACAAUGGGGGCAACCCUGAUCCAGCAAUACCGCGUGUGUGAAGAAGGCCUUCGGGUUGUAAAGCAC